rnacentral:rRNA from 1 species
AGAGUUUGAUCCUGGCUCAGAUUGAACGCUGGCGGCAGGCCUAACACAUGCAAGUCGAGCGGAAACGAGUUAUCUGAACCUUCGGGGGACGAUAACGGCGUCGAGCGGCGGACGGGUGAGUAAUGCCUAGGAAAUUGCCCUGAUGUGGGGGAUAACCAUUGGAAACGAUGGCUAAUACCGCAUAAUGCCUACGGGCCAAAGAGGGGGACCUUCGGGCCUCUCGCGUCAGGAUAUGCCUAGGUGGGAUUAGCUAGUUGGUGAGGUAAUGGCUCACCAAGGCGACGAUCCCUAGCUGGUCUGAGAGGAUGAUCAGCCACACUGGAACUGAGACACGGUCCAGACUCCUACGGGAGGCAGCAGUGGGGAAUAUUGCACAAUGGGCGCAAGCCUGAUGCAGCCAUGCCGCGUGUGUGAAGAAGGCCUUCGGGUUGUAAAGCACUUUCAGUCGUGAGGAAGGUAGGUGUAGUUAAUAGCUGCAUUAUUUGACGUUAGCGACAGAAGAAGCACCGGCUAACUCCGUGCCAGCAGCCGCGGUAAU